CAUAGGUUAAUGAGGCGAACCGGGGGAACUGAAACAUCUAAGUACCCCGAGGAAAAGAAAUCAACCGAGAUUCCCCCAGUAGCGGCGAGCGAACGGGGAGCAGCCCAGAGCCUGAAUCAGUAUGUGUGUUAGUGGAAGCGUCUGGAAAGGCGCGCGAUACAGGGUGACAGCCCCGUACACAAAAAUGCACAUGCUGUGAGCUCGAUGAGUAGGGCGGGACACGUGGUAUCCUGUCUGAAUAUGGGGGGACCAUCCUCCAAGGCUAAAUACUCCUGACUGACCGAUAGUGAACCAGUACCGUGAGGGAAAGGCGAAAAGAACCCCGGCGAGGGGAGUGAAAAAGAACCUGAAACCGUGUACGUACAAGCAGUGGGAGCACGCUUAGGCGUGUGACUGCGUACCUUUUGUAUAAUGGGUCAGCGACUUAUAUUCUGUAGCAAGGUUAACCGAAUAGGGGAGCCGAAGGGAAACCGAGUCUUAACUGGGCGUUAAGUUGCAGGGUAUAGACCCGAAACCCGGUGAUCUAGCCAUGGGCAGGUUGAAGGUUGGGUAACACUAACUGGAGGACCGAACCGACUAAUGUUGAAAAAUUAGCGGAUGACUUGUGGCUGGGGGUGAAAGGCCAAUCAAACCGGGAGAUAGCUGGUUCUCCCCGAAAGCUAUUUAGGUAGCGCCUCGUGAAUUCAUCUCCGGGGGUAGAGCACUGUUUCGGCAAGGGGGUCAUCCCGACUUACCAACCCGAUGCAAACUGCGAAUACCGGAGAAUGUUAUCACGGGAGACACACGGCGGGUGCUAACGUCCGUCGUGAAGAGGGAAACAACCCAGACCGCCAGCUAAGGUCCCAAAGUCAUGGUUAAGUGGGAAACGAUGUGGGAAGGCCCAGACAGCCAGGAUGUUGGCUUAGAAGCAGCCAUCAUUUAAAGAAAGCGUAAUAGCUCACUGGUCGAGUCGGCCUGCGCGGAAGAUGUAACGGGGCUAAACCAUGCACCGAAGCUGCGGCAGC
rnacentral:rRNA from 1 species